UGGGAACGAGAAGACACUUGUGGAGGCGUCA
rnacentral:piRNA from 1 species